UGGUAAAGUCAGAUAAGCUCUGGCCCAAUACAACAAAACUGCAAGAUGACUGCCCUCACUCCUAGCAUGGACAGACUGCACACACACAGCUAAAAACUGCCACUCACUUCCCCUCCCGUCCCCCAAACCAUUCUGGUGGUGUGCCAGAUCUGCUGGAUCAGCUAAUCUUUUGUUAACUCAGUUAACCUUGCCAUCCAUCCCUGAGGCAUCGUCCCCUCUUCCCAGUGUCUUUCCAGGUGACAAAUGGGAAACAAUGCACUGAGAAACCUGACCCACAACAGGGGACCAGCUGUUGAACUGCAGAAAGGGAACUGAGAGCAACUGUGUUGCUGGACUGAUGGCUCGAGUAAUGGCCUUCUCGGGAAGCCUUGAAAAGCUCUGUGAGCAAUGACAGCACAGGGGGGAGAGAGCCCUAAAGAAAGCUUCACUUUGCUUUGAGAAAGAAAUUUUUGGAAUCCAGCAACCAGAAGAAGUGAGCGAGAGGGAAUGGAGGAUAGGCAAAAGCUUCAUAGGAAAAUCUCCCUUAUUUUCUGCAGCAACAAAAUCCACCACCAAUCAACAGGUCCCACCUACAGGCAGUUCUCCAUCUCCUUCCUCAAGUUUCAUUUCAUGGCCAUGUAUCUACUGAUUGCUACCAGAGUGCAGCAGCCACUUGGGAGAUUGCAAACUUCCCACUGUGCCAGGGAAGUUGGCAGGCUGCUCAGGGUUGUUAUGAGGAAAUACUAUGGACAAACUUAGGGAUUACACCACCUUUGCCUCGAGUAAUGCAAAGAAAAGUAACAAGAUCUGUUACAUUAAACACCUUCAUUCUGUAAACCACUGGAAAUAAAAAGUUAAUAAAUACAAGAAAGGAGGUCAAUUAACAUUUUGCCAAGAUUUGUUUCCAUGAUAAACUAUCUCCAGCAAAUAGCCAGGGAAGGGUUCCAAAUACUUGAUUGUCUGGACCUGUGACUUUGGAUAAAACACAAAGCAGAAGUAAAGGAACCAAUGGGCAAGAACUUCUGAGCUGUGCUAGGAAAUAGUAUUUGGUACUGCAAUCUGGGCAGCAAAGCAGGCUGCACACAGGCAGUACCAGGAGGACUAUCCAGAUGUGUCCCUGGAGAAGCUGUGCAGUGGAACAUGUACAGUUGUCAUGAUGUCAUUCCCCACUUGCUUUUUUCUGCCACAGGCAAUAAACGACUAUAGGAAAUACAGGGUGAUAACUUGGUUUUGGCACGAAGCAAUGCCAUGAAAGCCAACAUGGAUCUCUUUAUGAUACCUUUUGACUUCUAUAGACACUCAGUGGC